rnacentral:rRNA from 1 species
GAUAAACGCUGGCGGCGUGCCUAACACAUGCAAGUCGAACGCCCUUUUGCGCAAGUGAGAGGGAGUGGCGGACGGGUGAGUACCACGUGGGUACCUACCUUGAGGUGAGGAAUACCACCGAGAAAUCGGUGACAAGACCGCAUACGCUUGGCAACAAGCAAAGUCUCGCAAGAGACGCCACAAGAUGGGCCUGCGCCUGAUUAGCUAGUUGGUGAGGUAAUGGCNCACCAAGGCGACGAUCAGUAGCUGGUCUGAGAGGAUGAUCAGCCACACUGGGAUUGAGAACGGCCCAGACUCCUACGGGGGGCAGC